UCGCAAAAAAAAAAAAAAAAAAAAAAAAAAAAAAAAAAAAAAAAA
rnacentral:ribozyme from 13 species